UACGUAGGGGGCUAGCGUUGUCCGGAAUCAUUGGGCGUAAAGAGCGCGUAGGCGGCCAGACAAGUCCGGUGUGAAAGUCAACAGGCUCAACCUGUGAAUGCCGCUGGAAACUGUCUGGCUAGAGUCCGGAAGGGGGCGAGUGGAAUUCCUGGUGUAGCGGUGAAAUGCGCAGAUAUCAGGAGGAACACCUAUGGCGAAGGCAGCUCGCUGGGACGGUACUGACGCUGAGGCGCGAAAGCGUGGGGAGCGAACAGG
rnacentral:rRNA from 1 species